rfam:Micrococcus luteus NCTC 2665, complete genome.
GGUCACGAGAGUCAGCAACAGGCCCCGGCAUGCUGACCGGCAACCCUCCUUCCGCGGUGGGGUGCCCCGGGUGACGACCAGGCCGGCCCCACAACGGACGCCGGCAAGCGCGGGCC